rnacentral:rRNA from 1 species
GUGGGCAAUCUGCCCUGCACUCUGGGACAAGCCCUGGAAACGGGGUCUAAUACCGGAUAUGACUGUCCAUCGCAUGGUGGAUGGUGUAAAGCUCCGGCGGUGCAGGAUGAGCCCGCGGCCUAUCAGCUUGUUGGUGAGGUAGUGGCUCACCAAGGCGACGACGGGUAGCCGGCCUGAGAGGGCGACCGGCCACACUGGGACUGAGACACGGCCCAGACUCCUACGGGAGGCAGCAGUGGGGAAUAUUGCACAAUGGGCGAAAGCCUGAUGCAGCGACGCCGCGUGAGGGAUGACGGCCUUCGGGUUGUAAACCUCUUUCAGCAGGGAAGAAGCGAAAGUGACGGUACCUGCAGAAGAAGCGCCGGCUAACUACGUGCCAGCAGCCGCGGUAAUACGUAGGGCGCAAGCGUUGUCCGGAAUUAUUGGGCGUAAAGAGCUCGUAGGCGGCUUGUCACGUCGGUUGUGAAAGCCCGGGGCUUAACCCCGGGUCUGCAGUCGAUACGGGCAGGCUAGAGUUCGGUAGGGGAGAUCGGAAUUCCUGGUGUAGCGGUGAAAUGCGCAGAUAUCAGGAGGAACACCGGUGGCGAAGGCGGAUCUCUGGGCCGAUACUGACGCUGA